rnacentral:rRNA from 1 species
GACAGAGGUGCCAAGCGUUAGGCGGAAUCACUGGGCUUAAAGCGUGUGUAGGUGGAUGCCUAAGUACCUUGUGAAAUCCCACGGCUUAACCGUGGAACUGCUUGGUAUACUGGGUGUCUUGAGCCAACUAGGGGCAGUCGGAACAAACGGUGGAGCGGUGAAAUGCGUAGAUAUCGUUUGGAACGCCAAUGGUGAAAACAGGUUGCUGGGAGUGUGCUGACGCUGAGACACGAAAGCCAGGGGAGCAAACGGG